UGGCGCAGUGGAUAGCGUGUUGGGCUCAUAACCCAAAGGUCCCUUGAUCGAAACAAGG
rnacentral:tRNA from 1 species